AUGAAAUGCACACGAUGACGUUUGUAUCUUUUGUGUUUUAGCUGGAUCCUCUUGAACAAGCAAAAUUAGAUUUGGUCUCUGCUUACACAUUGAAUUCGAUGUUUUGGGUAUAUCUUGCCACACAAGGAAUUAAUCCAAAGGAGCACCCAGUGAAACAGGAGCUGGUAAGA